rnacentral:tRNA from 1 species
CGGACGUGGCGGAAUUGGUAGACGCGCCAGAUUUAGGUCCUGGUGAAUAUCUUCGUGAGAGUUCAAGUCUCUCCGUCCGUAAUA